GGGUUGUGAGGUUAAGCGACUAAGCGUACACGGUGGAUGCCCUGGCAGUCAGAGGCGAUGAAGGACGUGCUAAUCUGCGAUAAGCGCCGGUAAGGUGAUAUGAACCGUUAUAACCGGCGAUUUCCGAAUGGGGAAACCCAGUGUGAUUCGUCACACUAUCAUUAACUGAAUCCAUAGGUUAAUGAGGCGAACCGGGGGAACUGAAACAUCUAAGUACCCCGAGGAAA
rnacentral:rRNA from 1 species